CGGUCCGGCCGGGAACUCAAAGGAGACUGCCAGUGAUAAACUGGAGGAAGGUGGGGAUGACGUCAAGUCAUCAUGGCCCUUACGACCAGGGCUACACACGUGCUACAAUGGCGCAUACAAAGAGAAGCGACCUCGCGAGAGCAAGCGGACCUCAUAAAGUGCGUCGUAGUCCGGAUUGGAGUCUGCAACUCGACUCCAUGAAGUCGGAAUCGCUAGUAAUCGUGGAUCAGAAUGCCACGGUGAAUACGUUCCCGGGCCUUGUACACACCGCCCGUCACACCAUGGGAGUGGGUUGCAAAAGAAGUAGGUAGCUUAACCUUCGGGAGGGCGCUUACCACUUUGUGAUUCAUGACUGGGGUGAAGUCGUAACAAGGUAACCGUAGGGGAACCUGCGGUUGGAUCAC
rnacentral:rRNA from 1 species